GUUGCCUGACACUUCCCAUUAAUAGACCUUGUUUUCAGUUGCUUAUAACUUUGCCAAACUUUAUCUGUUUGGGCAGAAACUUGUGAGAGCACAAGAAGGACCUGCUGUCGGGAUGAAUCAGAGUUGUGUACUGAAGGAGGCUGUUGCAAAAGUUGGAAGGAAUUAUCUUGCUUAAGGUGGUACAAGGUUGAAAAACCAGAUGACCCCCACCUCCUGCACCAUGCGUUGCUCUUGUAUAAAAUCUGCUAGUAACUCUCCAUGGAUGAAGAGUUCUGGAGCAUGCCAACUUCUGAGAGGGGGAAGUGGCGCCCAACAGCCUCCCUAGCCUGGGAGCACAUUGUGCUGAAUGCUGUACGAACACGUCCCCAGAGCUUACAGCCUAACGCAGAGGAGAUGGAACGAAUGUAUGUUGCAUGGGGCAGGGGGAAGAUGGAAGCCAAGGUGAUGGUGAGGAGAUCCUGUGGUUUCUUAGGCCAACAACCUGCCUGAUUUGAUGGCUCUGAUAGUUCUCUGUCCUUUUAACCCUCUGCCAAUUUACAGUUACACAAUAUGACCGCUUUCCCAGAGAGACGAAACUAACCAUUUGCUCAUGACUCCUGUCCUGCAGCCUUCUGCCAGGUGCCCUCCUCAUGGCAGCCGUGGAGCAGAGAGCCACAGCGAUAGGGUGCCCGUAUUUCCCAAAGAGAAAACAGGGCACCUCCAGCCCUUGC